GUUUGAUUCUGGCUCAGGACGAACGCUGGCGGCAUGCCUAAUACAUGCAAGUCGAACGGAGUGAAGCCUUCGGGUUUCAUUCAGUGGCGAACGGGUGAGUAAUACGCAGGGAACCUGGCCAUGGCAGGGGGAUACACUCUGGAAACGGAGCAUAAGACCCCAUAGGCAGUAAGGCGGCAUCGCCUUGCUGUUAAAGAAAGCUGAAAGGCUUUGGCGAUGGAUGGACCUGCGGUGCAUUAGCUUGUUGGUGAGGCAACGGCUUACCAAGGCGAUGAUGCAUAGCCGGCCUGAGAGGGCGGACGGCCACACUGGGACUGAGACACGGCCCAGACUCCUGCGGGAGGCAGCAGUAGGGAAUUUUCGUCAAUGGGCGCAAGCCUGAACGAGCAAUGCCGCGUGAGUGAGGAAGGUCUUCGGACUGUAAAGCUCUGUUGCCGGGGAAAAAGGGGAAAUGCAGGAAAUGGCAUUUCAUGGAUGGUACCCGGCCAGAAAGCCACGGCUAACUACGUGCCAGCAGCCGCGGUAAUACGUAGGUGGCGAGCGUUAUCCGGAAUGAUUGGGCGUAAAGGGUGCGCAGGCGGUCUGUUAAGUCUGAAGGCAAAGGGAUGAGCUCAACUCAUUUAUGAUUCAGAAACUGGCAGACUUGAGGACAGGAGAGGGCGGUGGAACUCCAUGUGUAGCGGUAAAAUGCGCAGAGAUAUGGAAGAACACCAGUGGCGAAGGCGACCGCCUGGCCUGUGACUGACGCUGAGGCACGAAAGCGUGGGGAGCAAAUAGGAUUAGAUACCCUAGUAGUCCACGCCGUAAACGAUGAGGAGCAGGCGUUGGGAGUGAAAUCUCAGUGCCGAAGCCAACGCAGUGACUCCUCCGCCUGGGGAGUAUGCACGCAAGUGUGAAACUCAAAGGAAUUGACGGGGGCCCGCACAAGCGGUGGAGUAUGUGGUUUAAUUCGAAGCAACGCGAAGAACCUUACCAGGUUUUGACAUCGGAUGCGAAGGCGCAGAGAUGCGCUGGAGGCUAUCAUCCAGACAGGUGGUGCAUGGUUGUCGUCAGCUCGUGUCGUGAGAUGUUCAGUUAAGUCUGGCAACGAGCGCAACCCCCGUGGUAUGUUACUAACGCAUUUGGGCGAGGACUCAUAUCAGACUGCCGGUGACAAACCGGAGGAAGGCGGGGAUGACGUCAAAUCAUCAUGCCCCUUAUGACCUGGGCUACACACGUACUACAAUGGCGUCUACAGAGGGAAGCGACCCUGAGAAGGGAAGCGAAACCGGAAAAGGGCGUCCCAGUUCGGAUUGAAGUCUGCAACCCGACUUCAUGAAGAUGGAAUCGCUAGUAAUCGCGGAUCAGCAUGCCGCGGUGAAUACGUUCCCGGGCCUUGUACACACCGCCCGUCAAACCAUGGAAGCCGGCAACGCCCGAAGCCGGUGGCAUAACCUUUUAGGAGUGAGCCGUCGAAGGCGGAGCCGAUGACUGGGGUUAAGUCGUAACAAGGUACCC
rnacentral:rRNA from 1 species